CCUACGGGCGGCUGCAGUGGGGAAUAUUGGACAAUGGGGGCAACCCUGAUCCAGCCAUGCCGCGUGUGUGAAGAAGGCCCUCGGGUUGUAAAGCACUUUCAGUGAGGAAGAACGCCUGGUGGUUAAUACCCAUCAGGAAAGACAUCACUCACAGAAGAAGCACCGGCUAACUCCGUGCCAGCAGCCGCGGUAAUACGGAGGGUGCGAGCGUUAAUCGGAAUUACUGGGCGUAAAGCGCGCGUAGGUGGCUUGAUAAGCCGGUUGUGAAAGCCCCGGGCUCAACCUGGGAACGGCAUCCGGAACUGUCAAGCUGGAGUGCAGGAGAGGAAGGUAGAAUUCCCGGUGUAGCGGUGAAAUGCGUAGAGAUCGGGAGGAAUACCAGUGGCGAAGGCGGCCUUCUGGACUGACACUGACACUGAGGUGCGAAAGCGUGGGUAGCAAACAGGAUUAGAUACCCUGGUAGUC
rnacentral:rRNA from 1 species